UACGGAGGGGGCUAGCGUUGUUCGGAAUUACUGGGCGUAAAGCGCGCGUAGGCGGAUCUGCAAGGUCGGGGGUGAAAUCCCGAGGCUCAACCUCGGAACUGCCUUCGAUACUGCGGGUCUCGAGUCCGGGAGAGGUGAGUGGAAUUCCUAGUGUAGAGGUGAAAUUCGUAGAUAUUAGGAAGAACACCAGUGGCGAAGGGCCGGCUCACUGGCCCGGUA
rnacentral:rRNA from 1 species